rnacentral:lncRNA from 1 species
GAAAAUUCACCACAAAGAAAUCCAUCGUUAAUAAGAAUCAGAGUUAUAAUCCAAAAACAAAGAUAAUUCUCUCAGUGAAAAGUUAAUUUUCAUAUAAUGCUCAUCCAAGGUGUCUACAUAUAUAUUUGGUACCCCUAUAUAUAGACAUAAUGUUUAAGAAACUUAAGAAAUCUUGAAAGAAAACUUAAGGACAUCAUACCC